CAACUUUUAUGAAUAAAAAUGAUUUUUUUAUAAAUAUCAUUUUUGAAUAUUGUGGAAUAAAUUUGAUAUAAUGUUAUAGUUGUGGAUAAUAUUUAUAAAUUUUGCAAAGUACGCAUGUUGUUAUAUAAUAUUCGAUUGGUCAGUGAAUAUUCAUACGGACGGCACAAUCAUUGGUGGACCCCACAACAGAAUUAUUGUCGGAUUGAGAAAACGACAAAAAUAUUUUUAUGAAAAUAACGACGGAAGUUUUACUGUUGAUACUGCUAAACUACUCGGUAGUAAAAGUACAGUAAUACGCAUGGUUGCACAGUAGCACACGGUAUUGAUUAUUAAUGCUUAUGUGAGAAGUCACUCAGUUUGAUUCAAUUAUUGUCGAUAUUUUAUAUGUUACUAAAUCAAUAAUUGAGAUGACGAAGUUGUUAAUAUUAUUAUUUUCAUUAUUAACGAUGUCUAGAAGUUCUGCCAAGGAGAGGUUUGGUCACCUAAUUGCGCGCCAAUAGGGAGAAAUCCUUAUUGGAAAGCCCCCUCUUUCCUGGGAACGACCUGGUCGAUUAAUAGUGUGAAUAAUAAUAAUGAUGAUGAAGUUUUGUUUUAUUCGUAUUAUUAACGUUAUAAAACAGAAAAAACUUUUUAUAUAAAAC
rnacentral:lncRNA from 1 species